UUUCUUUCUUCCAGAACCCAGGUGAAGAAAUUAAUUUAUCUGCCCAAAGUAAUAUCACUAUCACAUGAAUAUUUGAAGGAAUGAGUGAGUGAAUCAUAAUGAGCUGAAAGAAAGCUCCAUGAAAACAGAAAUGUUGCUCUUCCCUUUCACCCAGUAUCUUCGGCACCAAGAACAGGACCCGUGCAGACUGGAUCAAGGACAAGCAAAACAACGUGUUUAUCUGGUGCCCAUCUCCCUGGCUGAACACUCCUCUGAAGGUGACCGUUGGACUGUGCCAGAGCAGAGCUGUCCACACCAAGUGAUGCUUCAUAGCAACUCUGGCUUUGGUGAACUUACUGGCAUCCCCUUAUAUAUAAGCUGUGGCCUGAUAACCUUAAGCAUAGCUCCAUAAAGUUCCUACCCAAGGCCACGGAGUCGACUGCUGACUAGCAAGCUGUUCUCUACUUUGUACAGGUGUCUAUUUGGGGAGGGAGAAGGUAGAAGAGCCAGUGAAGGUUUGCUUAAACUAUUCUUACAGCGAAAACACUGGCUGUCAUCACAAAAUAUUAAAAAUUAAAGUGCCAGAGACGGUUUUUAGUGGCCCUGGCUUUUACAGGUGCUGAGCUUUUGAGUAAUAGGGGAGUGUCUUUCCAGGAAACUGCAACCUUUUACCAUUGCAACAGCAGAAAACAUCUGUGGCAGAAAGAUAUUUUCUGAGCUUACUGCUACUUGAACGUAGUGAUGUUGUGUCUCCUAAAAUUCCUACCUUGCCUUAAUUGAUGAAAAAGAAGUACCAUUCAGUGAGCCUCCCCCUCCCCACUAUAUGUGUCAGAUAUUCCGCAUGUUAUUUUCAGUCUUUACAAGCACUCAUCAAAGUAUUGCUUUCCCCCAUUAUACAAAUGAUGAAACUCAAGCACAGGAGUUUACCCAAGGUCACAGAGCUAGAGGGGCCAGAGCUGGGAUUCCAAAUCAGUUCUAACACUCAAGCCAAGACUUUUCUGGUAUGCCAU